AACGAACGCUGGCGGCGUGGAUAAGACAUGCAAGUCGAACGGGAUUAUUUCUGUAGCAAUACAGAAAUAAUUCAGUGGCGAACGGGUGCGUAACACGUGGGCAAUCUGCCGAAAAGUGGGGGAUAGCUCGCCGAAAGGCGAAUUAAUACCGCAUGUGGUGAGGGACGACAUCUUCCUGAAUCCAAAGCCGGGGCAACCUGGCGCUUUUUGAGGAGCCCGCGGCCUAUCAGCUAGUUGGUGAGGUAACGGCCCACCAAGGCUAUGACGGGUAGCUGGUCUGAGAGGACGACCAGUCACACUGGAACUGAGACACGGUCCAGACACCUACGGGUGGCAGCAGUCGAGAAUUUUUCUCAAUGGGCGAAAGCCUGAAGGAGCGACGCCGCGUGGGGGAUGAAUGGCUUCGGCCCGUAAACCCCUGUCAUUCGGGAUCAAUGCUUGCCCGCUAAGUAAGGGGUAAGUUGAUAGUACCGGAAGAGGAAGGGACGGCUAA
rnacentral:rRNA from 1 species